AGGUGAAGGCCUAUAAGGGUUUGUCGGUUUGCAAGGCACCGGUUCUUGAGGCAAGCUUAUUUGGAUCACGUGGGCAGCUCAGGCGUGGAGCAGAAAAUCAAGAAGAUUUGAUUUGGAGUUUGGGAAGGUAACUAAGGAUAUACAUUGCCAAAGUUCCACAUGUAUCCUCUGUUCCCUGCUUUGGUUUGGAUACUUGCUUGCCACCUUUGUUGGAAAUUAGCUUCCUGGGUAGAUCGGUUUCAAAUAGCUAUAUUGAGGCUUCGUAAAUAU